GGAGGAACCAAAUCAGCCUCGGGGAGGGAAGAAAUACAACCCAGCGCAGGCGGAUGCUGGGCCCCGAGCCCGAGGGGGUGGUUUCACAGCAAAGCAGCUGCGGUUCUGGGGGUACUGGAGGAAGCGGGAUCUGACCCGCAGCUCCCCCUGCCUGACCCGAAACCUUGGUGCACGCAGCAAGAGCGCUGGGCCUGUCCCCACCCCGCCAGCCUUUCCAGCACAAGGGAUGUGAAGGGAGGGGGGCUCCAAAGCCACCUCCCGCCUCCGGUUCCCCCAACGCGGAGCCCAGCGAUAGCGGCACGAGCAGUCGGUCCGCCACGGUCCCGGCAGGCGACUCCAGGGCUCCUCAAGGCAGCUGCGGGCAAGCUGAGGGAGAGACCGCGGUUCUCUCCAGGCUGGCCAGCCUGCCCUCUGGUAACGGGUGCGAGGCCCCUCCUGCCUCCGUUUCCCCGUCCCGCCGCCACAGGCGGGGAGCACUUUGCUUCAUGCCGGCGACAAAACGGGGUGUGAGGCAGGCUGCGAGGGGCGGAAAGGAGCCUCAGUCCAAACCAGCCCCCCUCCCGCUGCCACCGCAGCCGCGUUUGCUCCUAGGCAGAGGACGCAGCCAAAGUCACGCAGCCCUGAGCUGGCUGGAUACCAAAUCCCAGGAACGGGACCUGACCUUAACAGAGGAAGAUUGAAAUGAACCCAAAGGCUGCUACAACCCCCAGCUUCCACGCGGCAAAGAGGGACCUGUCCUGGCCAAGGAGCGCAGCUUUCCUCCAACGAGGAAAGCUUUUCGUUGCAGAUCCCAAACUCCUAACAAAAAUAAAUACAUGGUCUGUCCUCGUUUGCAGCAGAAGCGUGGGGAGGACACAUCUCCGAAACCUGCUGCCACCCAGCUCUGCCCACCUCCACCAAGGCGGGAGAGCAGCGAUGGAAGCGGCAAGAGGCCCUGACGGGAAGAGGUCUGGGAAAUCCUUUCGACUCGCUGCUGGAGUGCUCAUCAUACAUCCACGUCCCACAGCGCACAAAGACAGUUGGUCAAACAACCUCUUCCUCCUGUGAGCUGUUAAAACACUCUCAUUCCCAAAAUGGCCUCAAAUACCUAUUUACCAGCGUAGCAACACAUUAUUACAUUAAAACAAAUCAAGCAGGAGUUAAACACACCCAUUACCAGCCUCUUCUCACUGGCACGCAAACAGCAUGGAAGAGCAUUUGCUCAGGAUUUAGUUUUCAUGACGCAUUUUUCUCAUUCCCAAAAUGGCCUCAAAUACCUAUUUACCAGCGUAGCAACACAUUAUUACAUUAAAACAAAUCAAGCAGGAGUUAAACACACCCAUUACCAGCCUCUUCUCACUGGCACGCAAACAGCACGGAAGAGCAUUUGCUCAGGAUUUAGUUUUCAUGACGCAUUUUAAUUACCCCACCU
rnacentral:lncRNA from 1 species